GGCCGGUUUUCUCAUUGGUUAGGGUGUUGGCCUGAAGACCAAAGGGUCAUGGGUUCAAUCCCUAGUUCUGGUCA